CAUAGCCCAAGAUCCUCCAGGCUUCACCUCUGAGUGCUGGGAGCAAGCAUCUAUGGCCAAGUCUGCACCUCUAUGAGGCUGUUCCCUUGCCUUCUUGGGGAGCAGAGGGGGGAGGUAGUGUAACCCAUCUGCUACAUCAGUUCUACUGAAGAGCAAGGGCACUCCCUCAAAAUCCAGAGCUGCUCCUCAGUAAAGUAGCACGUCUACCUCAGAAGCUUGGGUGCUGUAAAGAAAAUGGGUUGACAACACUUGUGAGGCAGAGACAGGAGCUCGAACAAUGAGGUCCAGGCCAGCCAGGGUUGCACAUCUCAGUAGGUAGAUAGGUGGGUGGGUAGGUAGGUAGAUAGGUGGGUGGGUGGGUAGGUAGGUAGGUAGGUAGAUAGGUGGGUGGGUGGGUGGGUGGGUGGGUGGGUGGGUAGGAAAGUAGGUAGGUAGAUAGAUAGGUGGGUGGGUGGGUAGGAAAGUAGGUAGGUAGGUAGGUAGGUAGGUAGGUAGGUAGGUAGGUAGGUAGGUGGGUGGGUAGGAAAGUAGGUAGGUAGGUAGGUAGGUAGGUGGGUGGGUAGGUAGGUAGGUAAGUGGGUGGGUGAGUGGGUAGGUAGGUAGGUAGGAAGAUAGGUAGAUAGGUAGGUAGGUGGGUGGGUAGGUAGGUAGGUAAGUGGGUGGGUGAGUGGGUAGGUAGGUAGGUAGGAAGAUAGGUAGAUAGGUAGGUAGGUGAGUGGGUAGGUAGGUAGGUAGGUAGGUAGAUAGGUGGGUGGGUGGGUAGGAAAGUAGGUAGGUAGGUAGGUAGGUAGGUAGGUAGGUAGGUAGGUAGGUAGGUAGAUGGGUGGGUGGGUGAGUGGGUAGGUAGGUAGGUAGGUAGGUGGGUGGGUAGGUAGAUGGGUGGGUGGGUGGGUGAGUGGAUAGGUAGGUAGGUGGGUGGGUGGGUGGAUGAGUGGGUGGGCAGGUAGGUAGGUAGGUGGGUGGGUGGGUGGGUAGGUAGGUAGG
ensembl:lncRNA